AUUGAACGCUGGCGGCAGGCUUAACACAUGCAAGUCGAGCGGGGGAAGGUAGCUUGCUACCGGACCUAGCGGCGGACGGGUGAGUGAUGCUUAGGAAUCUGCCUAUUAGUGGGGGACAACAUCUCGAAAGGGAUGCUAAUACCGCAUACGUCCUACGGGAGAAAGCAGGGGAUCUUCGGACCUUGCGCUAAUAGAUGAGCCUAAGUCGGAUUAGCUAGUUGGUGGGGUAAAGGCCUACCAAGGCGACGAUCUGUAGCGGGUCUGAGAGGAUGAUCCGCCACACUGGGACUGAGACACGGCCCAGACUCCUGCGGGAGGCAGCAGUGGGGAAUAUUGGACAAUGGGGGGAACCCUAAUCCAGCCAUGCCGCGUGUGUGAAGAAGGCCUUAUGGUUGUAAAGCACUUUAAGCGAGGAGGAGGCUACUUUAGUUAAUACCUAGAGAUAGUGGACGUUACUCGCGGAAUAAGCACCGGCUAACUCUGUGCCAGCCGCCGCCGUAA
rnacentral:rRNA from 1 species